UGCGUAGGCGGACUAAUAAGUCAGUGGUUAAAUCUCUCGGCUCAACCGGGAAACUGCCAUUGAUACUGUUAGUCUUGAGUUCGGUUGAGGUAGGCGGAAUGUGUAAUGUAGCGGUGAAAUGCUUAGAUAUUACACAGAACACCAAUUGCGUAGGCAGCUUACUAGACCGACACUGACGCUGAGGCACGAAAGCGUGGGUAGCGAACAGGAUUAGAUACCCUGGUAGUCC
rnacentral:rRNA from 1 species